CUUAGACAGCAUUAAUUUCUGUCUGCAAAGGAAUAAAGUGAAUUGAGAGUCACGACAUCGACUCGAUUGAGUUGUUGAGUGAUUGUGGUCAUGUUCUCCAAUAAAUAGUAGGAAGAAAUAUAAAUUAUUACCGGAAAAAAGAAGAAGAAAAAAGAUAAAGUUGGAACGUCAACAUCAAAUAUUGUAUGUACUAAAAGAAGUAUGCUUUUUUCUCUCUUUGUUGGCCGAGCUAAGCUUUUGUUCAGCUUGCAGAGUACUAAUUUCGUCUGCCAGAAAAUGAAGAUGGACAAAGAAAGCUUUGUUGAUUUCGAGAAUCACGACAUUGACUCGUUCGAGCUGCUGAGUGUGCAUGAGUUGGAUCGUAGCCGUUGGUUGCUGAGGCACUUCCGUCACUCCUCGUCGAUCUUCCACGCGUCCCAUGGACUGCAUUGCAUGCGGCGGCCUCGUGGGCAGCUUCGUGGGCGAGUCCUUGAUUUGGUGGAGUUUAAGGCCUGAGGAGUUAACGGGGCACAAUGGCUUCUCUGAUCCGGCCGUCGGUGUCCCUUGCGGGAGCCACGGCUUCCUACCUUUUCGGGGGUGAUCGGAGGCGGUUCGGGCUGUGAUGGCCCCGCUCAUGGCAUCUCCCUGAGGGCCCUUUUGAGGGCGCGGCUCGGGACCAGAGGAGGGAGGAGGGGCAGCUUGACAGUGGCCGCGAAGCUCCGGAAGGUGAAGAAGCACGAGUACCCGUGGCCCGAGGAUCUGGAUCCAAACGUGAAGGGCUGGGUCCUCAGCCACCUCUCUUCCUUCAAGCCGCUCAAGGAGAAGCCGAAGCCGGUCACGCUGGAGUUCGAGAAGCCGCUCAUGCUGUUCGAGAAGAAGAUCAUGGACGUGAGUUGGUGUUCUGUCGUCUCUUGUAAAUUUGAUUCGGGAAUGCCUCUCUAAUUGCUCGAAAAAGCAAUCACUUCCAAUUUUGGGUAAUAUAGGCGCGACAAAAUUCACAAACAUAUCGUAUCUUUGAAGAAUUUUUGUUAGAUGGACGAAUGCAGAAUCGAAUUUUCGUUUUAGUUUUAAAAUUGCCAAAGAAAGGAACAAUAGCAAGAUUUCUUUCUCUACUA